AUUGAACGCUGGCGGCAGGCCUAACACAUGCAAGUCGAACGAGUCGCGGACGUGUGAGUAAUGCUUGGGCAUCUAGCUUAUGGAUGGGGAUAACUACUGGCAACUGUAGCUAAUACCGUCUACCAUAGGAUGAGCCCAAGUGGGAUUAGGUAGUGGGUGGGGUAAAGGCUCACCACGGCGACGAUCUCUAACUGGUCUGAGAGGAUGACCAGCCACACUGGAACUGAGACACGGCCCAGACUCCUACGGGAGGCAGCAGUGGGGAAUAUUGCACAAUGGGCGCAAGCCUGAUGCAGCCAUGCCGCGUGAAUGAAGAAGGCCUUCGGGUGGUAAAGUACUUUCAGUGGGGAGGCGUUAACAACAGAAGAAGCACCGGCUAACUCCGUGCCAGCAGCCGCGGUAAUAC
rnacentral:rRNA from 1 species